ACUAUUUUCCAGUUGAAGGCAUGAUGUGUCCCAUCUGCCAGCGUGCCAGAACCCUUGAGCUCAAGGUGGGCCACAGAGACCCUGUACUGAACCUGCAGGGACCACAGUGUCACGAAGCACAUCCCAUGUGGAGCUCUGUUGCUUUCAGGCCCGGGCGUUCAUUUUUUUCUCCCUCUCCCCCCUUCUCCUCUCCUCCCAUCUCUCCGAAGAGAUUUGGAACAAGGGGGUAUCCCUUCAGCACCUGCUCAGGUUUUCAGUGGAUCGGAGGGGUGCCCAUUUACAUGGUACCAUCCUACUGGCACCAGGAAGACUUCCAUUAUACGGCUCAGCAGGGACAGCGCUUAAGAAUCCGCAAUAGUCGUUCAUUGUGAAGGGCCGUUUCCUACGCUCUACCAGAAGCAUGAGGUGGUCUGCACUAAGACCCCCGAUGUGUCCCAUCCCAGGUGCAAGAAAGGCCACCUGCCAUGAGGGUGCUCCCUAGACCGAGACUGCUUUCAUACAAAGGACAAAAACACACCUUUCUUCUCCAGAGGCCCAACUUUCUGAAGGGAACUCUACCUCCCACAUAUUACCGAGGGGGAAAAAAGCCCUUUCUUUUCACAUAACAUUAUCCAGCUAUCAUUUGAGAAGGGGGCACAGCAAUUUUCAAUCAUCCUGUCCUCCGCCCACACAGAACUCAUUGGCUUUGAUGGCUCCUGCAUAAUUAUGUGAAUUUUAUUAAAAGCUCAGUGUAUUAAUCUCAGCACGACAGUUGGCUAUCAGUAAACUUAACCUUCUCUGAGGUAAUAACAGCCGCAACAAUGAAACAAUAUUUCAAUUAGCCAGGCUGACAUUAACCACCGCAUACCACAAGAAAAAAAAACAAAACAAUGCUGCGGCAUUAAAAGGCCAAACCGUGCUAGGCCACCAUAUUUCUUUCUGAGAACUAUGAGCUGAAGAAAACAUUUCAGUACACAAUGGUGAAGUAGUAAAACAAUUCAUUGGUUUUUGAACAGUGGCAUCAGCCGACAAAUCUCCAUAAUCACUUCUUGCAUGCAAGUAACGGCGCCUGUCUGUUUCGAUCGCUCCUUACACGGCCCCUCAGAGCAGGCAGCACUAAUCCAUCCACUUUAGAUCAACAUGUCACAUUCCACUCUCACCUCUCCGCUCAACUUAAAAAGCUCACUUUACCUUAUAAAACAGUCACAUAGUCUAGAAUAUGAUCGUAAUAUGCCAGUAUUCUAACGGUCAGCUGGGACGGUGGA